AAGUCGUAACAAGGUUUCCGUAGGUGAACCUGCGGAAGGAUCAUUAAUUGAUCAAAAUUGGAGGUUUUUUUUCAGCUCCGGCCGAAAAUACCGCCUUUUUCCUUUGUGAACUGUCUUGUACUGUUGUUGUAUAUUAUUUUUUUAGUGUGUUUUCCUUAAGGAAAAUAAAAUCUAAAGACAACUUUCAGCAAUGGAUCUCUUGGCUCUU
rnacentral:misc_RNA from 1 species